GACGAACACUGGCGGCGUGCUUAACACAUGCAAGUCGAACGGAAAGGCCCUGCUUUUGUGGGGUGCUCGAGUGGCGAACGGGUGAGUAACACGUGAGUAACCUGCCCUUGACUUUGGGAUAACUUCAGGAAACUGGGGCUAAUACCGGAUAGGAGCUCCUGCUGCAUGGUGGGGGUUGGAAAGUUUCGGCGGUUGGGGAUGGACUCGCGGCUUAUCAGCUUGUUGGUGGGGUAGUGGCUUACCAAGGCUUUGACGGGUAGCCGGCCUGAGAGGGUGACCGGCCACAUUGGGACUGAGAUACGGCCCAGACUCCUACGGGAGGCAGCAGUGGGGAAUAUUGCAAAAUGGGCGGAAGCCUGAUGCAGCAACGCCGCGUGCGGGAUGACGGCCUUCGGGUUGUAAACCGCUUUCGCCUGUGACGAAGCGUGAGUGACGGUAAUGGGUAAAGAAGCACCGGAUAACUAAGUG
rnacentral:rRNA from 1 species